CAGGGAAACUGGAUCCUGACAGGAGCGUGGGUGGCUCACAAUGCCCUGAAACUGUGGGAUUAUCGGAGCCUACGGCAGGAGAAGACAAUUCCGUUUCCCGUCGGGAAGGGGGAGAGCGAGUUUCUGUACACUGCCCAGUUCUGUAACAGUGAGGUGGUCAUCAGCGGAGGCAGUGGGACACACAGUGCACACGCUAUCAACUACAAAACAGACCAGGAUCUUGGUGAGGUAGCACUGGGCAGAAACACUGUCCAGGCUGUGGAUAGUGCCCUCGAUGGCCAGCUGAUUGCAGUGGCAGGUGUGAAUGGGAACCUCCACCUUGCUACUCUCUAUUAGCCUGGUGAAGAGCAGCAACAUUUCCCCUGGUGAAGCCAGCGCUGCUGAGCUGGGCAAAAGGGAGGCAGGUGCCAACUGGAGAGCCCAUUGCCAGGAGAUGACCAGCCUCGCUCACUCGCCAGUGUCCAGAGCAGCCAGCAGCACCGUGCUGAUCCUGCAGUGUUUGGAAGGGCACGGUGGUGGGAAUUCUACUUUGUAUGAUUCAUUGUUAGAAACCGAGAUGUAAUUCAGCUUUAGGCAAUCCCCCAGCCUUUCAGGGAAACCACACCGAGAGCUCAAUAAGUUCACCGAAUGGUGUUGUCACACCUGGCCACUGAAAUGUCUAUUAAACACAGGAAAUAUGCUUUCAUCGAGUCAAAGCCACAUAUGUCACACUUCAUGAAGUAACUCCUGACUUAGUGAAAUUGGUGAUGGCACUGUACAAAUAAACCUGAAAUAGACAGCAGUUUCUUAUAUUCGAGUCAAACUUUUAUUCAACUUAACAUGGGCUCAACCCAGCCGUUCUCAGUGACACCCAAAACAGUUGCAUGUCUCUUGAUUAAAAAAUAUUUUAGUUUUAUCUGAUCUUGGGUUGUCAGUUAUGUUGCUAUUUGUACAUAUUUUAGCCAAGCAGUUGUUUUGGUUAUUUUUGACAGUAGAAACGCAUUAUGCUUUCCACUUGUAUCAUUGCCCACCAUCUUCUUCAACAAGACCUGAUUCUUAUCCCCGUGGCCACUGUGAGCCCUGACACCCUCCAUGCACCAGUAAUGACUGAUCACACAGAACCAUUCCACCUUCCCAAGGAUCGAAGAGAUUUGGAGCAAAUUUUCUGGAAUGGGGAGGUCUGAGUGAAGAGAGAGAGAGACUGACUCUGGCAAGCCAGACCAUCCCUCCAGUGCUCUGUUUGGGACUAAACUAUGACCAAAACUGUGCAGCCUAAGUUGCCAAUAAAAUUGUUGCUUUGUUACUAA